rnacentral:rRNA from 1 species
CCUGGAAACAGAUGCUAAUACCGGAUAACAAUAGAUGAUGCCUAUCAACUGUUUAAAAGAUGGUUCUGCUAUCACUCUUGGAUGGACCUGCGGUGCAUUAGCUAGUUGGUAGGGUAACGGCCUACCAAGGCGAUGAUGCAUAGCCGAGUUGAGAGACUGAUCGGCCACAUUGGGACUGAGACACGGCCCAAACUCCUACGGGAGGCAGCAGGC